rnacentral:rRNA from 1 species
UCCGUAGGCGGGUCAUUAAGUCAGAGGUGAAAUCCCACAGCUUAACUGUGGAACUGCCUUAGAUACUGAUGAUCUUGAGUUUUAGUGAAGUAGAUAGAAUGUGUAGUGUAGCGGUGAAAUGCAUAGAUAUUACACAGAAUACCGAUUGCGAAGGCAGUCUACUAACUAACAACUGACGCUAAUGGACGAAAGCGUGGGGAGCGAACAGGAUUAGAUACCCUGGUAGUCC